GAACGCUGGCGCGUGCCUAAUACAUGCAAGUCGAGCGAACAGAUAAGGAGCUUGCUCCUUUGACGUUAGCGGCGGACGGGUGAGUAACACGUGGGUAACCUACCUAUAAGACUGGGAUAACUUCGGGAAACCGGAGCUAAUACCGGAUAACAUUUGGAACCGCAUGGUUCUAAAGUGAAAGAUGGUUUUGCUAUCACUUAUAGAUGGACCCGCGCCGUAUUAGCUAGUUGGUAAGGUAACGGCUUACCAAGGCAACGAUACGUAGCCGACCUGAGAGGGUGAUCGGCCACACUGGAACUGAGACACGGUCCAGACUCCUACGGGAGGCAGCAGUAGGGAAUCUUCCGCAAUGGGCGAAAGCCUGACGGAGCAACGCCGCGUGAGUGAUGAAGGGUUUCGGCUCGUAAAACUCUGUUAUUAGGGAAGAACAAACGUGUAAGUAACUAUGCACGUCUUGACGGUACCUAAUCGGAAAGCCACGGCUAACUACGUGCCAGCAGCCGCGGUAAUACGUAGGUGGCAAGCGUUAUCCGGAAUUAUUGGGCGUAAAGCGCGCGUAGGCGGUUUCUUAAGUCUGAUGUGAAAGCCCACGGCUCAACCGUGGAGGGUCAUUGGAAACUGGGAAACUUGAGUGCAGAAGAGGAAAGUGGAAUUCCAUGUGUAGCCGUGAAAUGCGCAGAGAUAUGGAGGAACACCAGUGGCGAAGGCGACUUUCUGGUCUGUAACUGACGCUGAUGUGCGAAAGCGUGGGGAUCAAACAGGAUUAGAUACCCUGGUAGUCCACGCCGUAAACGAUGAGUGCUAAGUGGUAGGGGGUUUCCGCCCCUUAGUGCUGCAGCUAACGCAUUAAGCACUCCGCCUGGGGAGUACGACCGCAAGGUUGAAACUCAAAGGAAUUGACGG
rnacentral:rRNA from 1 species